GCUCGCAUGGGAUAGUGGUUUUGAGCAUUGGACCACAACUCUGGAGAGCAGGGUUCAAAUCCCUGUUCAGCCA